rnacentral:rRNA from 1 species
UACGUAGGGUGCAAGCGUUGCCCGGAUUUAUUGGGCGUAAAGGGCGCGUAGGCGGCUCGGCACGUCCGUUGUGAAAUCGCCCGGCUCAACUGGGCGGGGUCAGCGGAUACGGUCGAGCUUGAGCAAGCUAGGGGGCAAUGGAAUUCCCGGUGUAGUGGUGGAAUGCGUAGAUAUCAGGAAGAACACCCGUGGCGAAGGCGGCUCUCUGGGACGGUACUGACGCUGAGACGCGAAAGCGUGGGGAGCGAACAGG